UGUGGCGGCUGGUUUUAGUGAACAGUGCUCUGCAGCGGCGGCCUGAAGUCUGCACCUGUCCUGUUUUGUGGAUGAGCCAAACCACACUGAGAUGGAUGAAAACAGGAUCACCUGUGCAUCACCUUUCUCACUGGGUAGCUCAGAAGCAGUAGAAAGUCUGGCCCCACUUCAGGAGUUGGGUUCCACUGUCCCAGCUUUGUGUGGAGUGACUCUGGGAUCCGUGGGGGAAGCCUGACAUCGAGCGAAGCACUGCUGCACAG